AUGUGCCGUUCGUACACUCCGGUUCCUCCGCGCCGUGCGUGCCCACCUGACGACUGCUCGCUACGUUUUUAGCC
rnacentral:sRNA from 1 species